ACAUCUUAGUCUCCUCUGCCUCCUGCUACCACCUGACCAGGAUGUCUUUCUCAGUGAUUGAAACACCUGUCUCCCCUUGCAACUAUUUCUGCAAUGCCUCGAAGUAAUUAGCUGCAAAUAAUUGCUAGUAAUCAUCAACAUUGAUCCUGUGUGUUUUGGAGUGGCUACUACAGCAUUCAGCUUGGACUGGGGAGAGCAAGAAUACAGUUUCUGCUGUCUGUGAUGCUUACUGGUCAGCCAUUCUCUCACAUACCUCACAGGGUUGUUGUGAGGCCAAAUGGAACAAAAAUAGGUGUGCCUCCCCAAGCUCCUUGGAGAAGUCUGGAAUUAAAAUGUAGUGUAUAAAAAUGUAAUAAAAUAAUAAAUGUCGACAUUAAUGACUCAAAUGGCAA